rnacentral:rRNA from 1 species
UGAGGAAUAUUGGUCAAUGUGCGAGAGCCUGAACCAGCCAAGUAGCGUGCAGGAUGACGGCCCUAUGGGUUGUAAACUGCUUUUAUAUGGGAAUAAAGUGAGGGACGUGUCCCUUAUUGCAUGUACCAUACGAAUAUGGACCGGCUAAUUCCGUGCCAGCAGCCGCGGUAAUACGGAAGUUCCAGGCGUUAUCCGGAUUUAUUGGGGUUAAAGGGAGCGUAGGCUGUUUGUUAAGCGUGUUGUGAAAUGUUAGGGCUGAACUUUUAGAUUUGAGCACGAACUGGUAGACUUGAGUGCUCACAACGUAGGCGGAAUUCAUGGUUUAGCGGUGAAAUGCUUAGAUAUCAUGACGAACUCCGAUUGCGAAGGCAGCUUACGGGAGCGCAACUGACGCUAAAGCUCGAAGGUGCGGGUAUCGAACAGG